GACGAACGCUGGCGGCGUGCUUAACACAUGCAAGUCGAACGGACAGGCCCUGCUUUUGUGGGGUGCUCGAGUGGCGAACAGGUGAGUAACACGUGAGUAACAUGCCCUUGACUUUGGGAUAACUUCAGGAAACUGGGGCUCAUACCGGAUAGGAGCUCCUGCUGCAUGGUGUGGGUUGGAAAGUUUCGGCGGUUGGGGAUGGACUGGCAGGUUAUCCGCUUGUUGGCGAGGUAGUGGUUUACCAAGGCUGUGACGGGUAGGCGGCCUGGGAGGGUGGCCGGCCACAAUACGACUGAGGUACGGACCAGACUCCAACGGGAGGCAGCAGUGGGGAGUAUGGCGCAAUGGGCGGAAGCCUGAUGUAGCGACGCCGCGAGCGUGAUGACGGGCUUCGGGUGAAAAACCGAUGUGGACGGUGACGAGGCGUGAGUGACGGUAAUGAGUAAAGAAGCACCGGCUAACUACGUG
rnacentral:rRNA from 1 species